rnacentral:lncRNA from 1 species
UGGAUUAGAUCUCAUUCAGAGCAUUUGACCAAUCAUAAACGAGCCCUGUUUGUUAUGAAGGCGUUUUGUUAUUGUGUUUUCAUGCAUCACAAAAGAAGUGAAACCAGACGAGCUUCAGGAAUUCACUGCUCUAGUUUUCAGGCAUGAGGAAACGUACGUGAAGAUUAACGCUUGUGGAGGAGGAAGUGCGGUGAGAAAAAUCAGCUGUAAAUUCUCAACCCGUGGCAUUCGGCUGCUGGAUCUGACAUGCUGCACUUGUGUUAUGUUUAUCUUUAUUCUGCUUUCAGGUUUUCAAGAACUCAAGAGGAUAGUCAUUUAAUGUGAGUGCUGACGUACUGUUGUAUGAAGAUGACGAUGAUGGUGGAUAGCAAGGAUUUCUGGAGUUUGGAUCUCUCAAACAUCAUGGUGAAGCAGCGAUCGACGUCUUCUCAAACGCGUUACUCCAUCAGCUCCUGCCUCUGUAAUCUGUCUCGCUGUGAAAAAAAUUCUCCUAAAUUCACAGAGGUGCAGAUGCCUGAAGACUCACAGGUCGUGGAGAUGGCAGUGCUUGUGCUGGGAAUUCUGCUGGGAUUUGUGGGAUUUGUGGCAGGAGUCGUUGUUAUCGUAAUGAGCAAACUGGAGCCGCAGGCGGUAUGAUCAUGUCCUUCACACUGGACAUCAUUUCUUGAUGCUGAUUUAUUGUAUAAAUAAAGGUUUUUUUUAUUAAA